AGAACCUGAAACCGUGUACGUACAAGCAGUGGGAGCCUCUUAAUGGGGUGACUGCGUACCUUUUGUAUAAUGGGUCAGCGACUUAUAUUCUGUAGCAAGGUUAACCGAAUAGGGGAGCCGAAGGGAAACCGAGUCUUAACUGGGCGUUAAGUUGCAGGGUAUAGACCCGAAACCCGGUGAUCUAGCCAUGGGCAGGUUGAAGGUUGGGUAACACUAACUGGAGGACCGAACCGACUAAUGUUGAAAAAUUAGCGGAUGACUUGUGGCUGGGGGUGAAAGGCCAAUCAAACCGGGAGAUAGCUGGUUCUCCCCGAAAGCUAUUUAGGUAGCGCCUCGUGAAUUCAUCUCCGGGGGUAGAGCACUGUUUCGGCAAGGGGGUCAUCCCGACUUACCAACCCGAUGCAAACUGCGAAUACCGGAGAAUGUUAUCACGGGAGACACACGGCGGGUGCUAACGUCCGUCGUGAAGAGGGAAACAACCCAGACCGCCAGCUAAGGUCCCAAAGUCAUGGUUAAGUGGGAAACGAUGUGGGAAGGCCCAGACAGCCAGGAUGUUGGCUUAGAAGCAGCCAUCAUUUAAAGAAAGCGUAAUAGCUCACUGGUCGAGUCGGCCUGCGCGGAAGAUGUAACGGGGCUAAACCAUGCACCGAAGCUGCGGCAGCGACACUAUGUGUUGUUGGGUAGGGGAGCGUUCUGUAAGCCUGUGAAGGUGGCCUGUGAGGGUUGCUGGAGGUAUCAGAAGUGCGAAUGCUGACAUAAGUAACGAUAAAGCGGGUGAAAAGCCCGCUCGCCGGAAGACCAAGGGUUCCUGUCCAACGUUAAUCGGGGCAGGGUGAGUCGACCCCUAAGGCGAGGCCGAAAGGCGUAGUCGAUGGGAAACAGGUUAAUAUUCCUGUACUUGGUGUUACUGCGAAGGGGGGACGGAGAAGGCUAUGUUGGCCGGGCGACGGUUGUCCCGGUUUAAGCGUGUAGGCUGGUUUUCCAGGCAAAUCCGGAAAACCAAGGCUGAGGCGUGAUGA
rnacentral:rRNA from 1 species